AGAAAUUUAGGUUAAAUAGACCAAGAGCCUUCAAAGCCCUAAGAAAGUAUAUUACUACUUAAUUUCUG
ensembl:Mt_tRNA